rnacentral:rRNA from 1 species
UACGGAGGGGGCUAGCGUUGUUCGGAAUUACUGGGCGUAAAGCGCACGUAGGCGGCUUUGUAAGUUAGAGGUGAAAGCCCAGGGCUCAACUCUGGAACUGCCUUUAAGACUGCGAGGCUUGAUCACGGGAGAGGUGAGUGGAAUUCCGAGUGUAGAGGUGAAAUUCGUAGAUAUUCGGAAGAACACCAGUGGCGAAGGCGGCUCACUGGACCGUUGAUGACGCUGAGGUGCGAAAGCGUGGGGAGCAAACAGG